GCCGGCAUAGCUCAGUUGGUAGAGCAGCUGAUUUGUAAUCAGCAGGUCGCGGGUUCGAGUCCCUUUGCCGGCUCCA
rnacentral:tRNA from 1 species